CUGUUACAGUUCUCCCAUGUUGCUGCAGUGACCUUAUGCAGAAGGACCCUUGUGUUGCUCUGUGGUCCAUCAAUGGAAACUAUGAUCUCUAGUUCACAAUCUUGUGUGAAGAUUAUCCUUGGAAAAGCUGGAGCAGGAAUAGGUGAGUCACAAGUGAACAGCUCAAGCCCAGGCGUCUCCAUUGAGCUCUGGAACUAUAGAAGAAAGUGCCUCCUAACACCUCCUCCUGAAUACCUAUGACCAAACCAGAACCAUUGUCUCCACGGAUAGCUUGGCUCUUUAUGGAAUCCUCUGCCCAAAAAGUGCCCAUACCAGGCCUCUUGUUUCAAAAACAAUUCAGUAUUUUUUUGCCUUCAAAUCCAACCCAUCUUCGUGUUCUGUGGAUCUACCAUCUUCAACAUCUUUCCAAUCGUUCUACUUCUGUCUACCAUUGUCACCUCCUGCUUGACUUGUGCUAUUGCAGCCUCUUAGCUAGCCUAUACAUAAACCUUCUGGCGCCCUCUCUCUCCCUUCAUUUCUGUAGCCAGAAUGAGAUAUUGCACAGUACAAGUGGGGUUGUAUCAUGUCUUCCACCAUGACUUGCUUGCCUAAGACCCUCCAAUGCCCUCCCUUUCUUUGUCCUUAGGAUGGAUGACUUGGUAAUUUGGAGACCAGCCCCUGUGUGAUGCUGCCUCCUGCUUUCUUCCUUUGUUUGAUCUCACCCCUGACCUUCCCUGACUUGUUUUCCUAUUUUUCCAAUUACCUUAGGACCUUUGCAUCUCAGCUUAACAUUUUCCAAGCCAUCUUGUGUUUUAAAUAGCUUUAUUGAGACAUAAUUCACAUACCAUACAGUUUAUCCAUUUAAGGCACAUGACAUAGUGGUUUUUAGUAUAUUCACACAAGUAUGUGACCAUCACCACUAUCUCACUUCUGAAUAUUUUCAUUGUCCACAAAGUAACUCUAUCCCCAUUGCUGGUACAUCUCUUUUGUACCCACUAGCAGUCACUCUUCAGCUCCUACCCUCACCACCAUUAUCCCAUCUACCUGCCCAACGCACUCAUCAACUUUGUAUCUUUAUAGAUUCUCUUAUUGUGGACAUUUUAUAUAAAUAGAGCCAUAUAAUAAUGUGGCCUAUUAUAUGUGGCAUCUUUCACUUAAUACAAUAUUUUGGAAGUUCAUUCCUGUGGCGGCAUGAAUCAGUAUUUUGUUCAUAUUCAUGGCUGAAUAAUAUUCCAUUACAUGGAUGUACCACAUUUUCCUUGCCCGUUCUUCACGUCAUAGACAUUUGGACCAACCUUCAAAUCCUGACCCAAGCAUCCUUUCCCUAGGCAGCUUCCCUGACCUGCCCAGUGAGGCCAGAGGCUGCCAGAUGGGGUUUCAUUCCUCUCUCUCUCUUUCCCUUUCCUAGCCCCCCUCUCUCCCAUCCCCCCUCCCCCUCUCCCUUUCCUUCCCCCACUUCCCCCACUUUGAAGCAUGACUCUUGGUCUAGUUUAAUGCUGGUCUUUCCCAUCCGACUAUAAAAUAGAGCAUGCAGGGACCAUAUCUGUUCUGAGUUACCAUAGUAUCCCAACACCUAAUACAGAGCCCUGAACACAGUAGGACUCUUUACAUAUUUUUUAAUUAAUUCAUCCUAAUUCAAUUGAUUAAAGCAGGUUGGAUAUAGGAGGCCUUGAUCUGAAUGUCCUUGGCAUAAUGCCCAUCAUGCUGUAUAUUGAGAGGGAACUGCAGAGAUGCCUUUAUUACUACUCUUUACUCAAAUGUAUUUCCAAAUCAAAUUCAGCAUUUUUUAUAUUUAUUUGAAUUAAAAUGAACAAAUGGGAAAGUAACUAUAAGAGGCAAAAUCAGAGAAACAUCCUAAAGUUAAUAUAUCACACACCAGACACAAAUCUGUAAAGGUCUAAGUUGUCAGAUGUGAAGACAAAUGAGAUACCUCUGGCAAGUUCAUCAGUAUUUGGAAAGAAAACAUUUUUUAACUCAUUUCUGCUUUGUCAUUAAAGUGUAGGGAAUAAUUUAUAGUAGAGACAUCUUUGUUUUAAACAAGUGGCUUGCUUUAAUGAAGUAGUUCCCCUUCCUGUAAAGUUUACUGCAGGCUAGGUGCUGUGCUGUGAGCUUUGGGCUUGGGAGAUCAUUUGGGUCUGCUAUCUAUUUGUGAGUCAGGUAUUACCUGUGUAUCAGUCAGCUUUCUGUUGCUGGGACCAAAUAACAGACGCCUGCAGCUGAAAGGAGGAGAAGUUUAUUGUGGCUCACAGUUUCUGAGGUUUGAGUCCAUGGUCAGCUGGCUCCAAAGGCGGAACAUCAUUGCGGGGAAGGUUGUGGCAGAGGAAAGCUGUGGACCUCAUGACAUCUGGGCAGCAGAGUGAGCAAGGAUGAGACAGAGAAGAAGGGGCCAAGAAAUGACUCCAUGACCCACCUUGACACUCCCAUAAUUGUGCUUUACUAAUAUCCUAUCCUCAAGCCAAUGAAGUCCACAGUCAAGAUUUACCGUCACAACCUGUUAACAUUUUGCAGAUGAGUACCUGAGGCUUUGAGAGAAAAGGUAACAUGGCCUUUGUUCCAUAGUUUUUCUAACUCCAGAUCAUAUUAACUACCACUGUUUUAGUUACAGUCUGUUCACUUUGGCAAAUCUCGAGUCUCCUUUUGUUAUGGUUUUCAUCUAGAUGUACCCCAGAGCCUCAUAUGCUCAUAGUUGGGGCUGCUGGGAGGUGAUUGGAUCAUGGGGCUGUGAUACUCUUCAGUGGAUUAGUUUAAAGUUAAAUGUGAUGUUUGGAGGAGGUGGACACUGAGGACAUGGCCUGGAGGGGUCUAUCUCCCUCCCUCCUCCCUUGAUCUCUCUCUCUCUCUCUCUCUCUUCUUUCCACUGCCACUCCAUGAACUGUUUCUCCUCUGUGACUUCCCUCUGCCAUGCUGCCUUGCCUUAGAACCAACCAGCUAUGGUCUGAAACCUCUACAAACUGAGCCAAAAUAAACCUCUCCUCCUUUAAGGUGUAGGUGUCAGGUAUAGUGUCACCGUGAUGAGAAAAGUAACUAAGAUACCUUUUAACUGGAAAGUUUUUAAAAGUAGAUUAAAAGUAGAAAAAUGCUAUUGAGGAUGCCUGAAUUGAAGAAAAAAAAAACCUCCACGUUUUAAUAGGACAGAGGAAAUAAUAGCCUAGGCUCGGGGGCUAGAUGGACCCGUGUUCUAGAUGGGUCUAGAUUUUACUUUUUAUUAAUUGAGCAUGAUACUUAUUUCACUCAUUUUCUAAUUUUAAAAAUAGGUAUAAUUGUAUCAAUGUCAGUAGUGUAUAAUUAGUGAUCAAAUGAAACAAAACAAAGUCCGAAGCUAACACCUGAUGUAGAAUAGGUACAAAAAAUAAAAUAAAAAGCCACCUCCCCUUUAAUUUCUUGUACUUCUUCUGUGUUUACAUGCACAGGAAUGGUUUCAAUAUAAAGUUUUGGCUACCCCUCCCAAUUGCCACUCUUUCAGGUUAAUACAAGAAAAUAAGUCCUGAAAAGUUAAAAUGUUCAUUAAAAAUAGAAACUCAUACUCUUACCUUAACUAUGCUUCUCUUCAUUUCAGCGAACAUCAAGUCAUCCAAUACUGUCAGAGCACAGAAAUGGAUAUUAAUGAACAGUAGUGGACCCUUGCCCACAUAGGACUCCUCUUGCAAUAGAAGAGACAAAUGGGCUUUUACUCUUCCAUCAAAUAUAGCUCACUUAUUAGAAUAAAUGCCAUUGAAGUUGCACGGAGAAAUUCAACAACCUCUUUUGCAGGGCAGAGGUUUCUGAGCUCCCUUCUAAUGCAGCCAAAACUCCUGGACCUCUGGGAACCAAUAAAAAAAACCUCACUUCCCACUACAUUGUAAUUUCCAGGGAGAGAAAAUUCAGCCCAUUCUGUGGGGUCAGAUGUCCUGUUAGGUGUUGAAGGCAUUGUUCUGAUGUGUCACCUACAACUUCUCCAAGAACAAAAGGACAUCCACCAUGGGCGCUUCCUGUGUCUAGAUAUCAAGAGCUUAGGAUGAGAAUAGACUACAGAUACCUUGGAUCAGUGCCCCCUGGAAUAGUGUAAUUCUAUUGAUAAGCAUUUCUCAUUACUUUGUGGUGAAACAGAACUUGGAGGCCAGCAAGUGGCUAAUUUCAUUGUUUAUGAGAGGCAAGCAUACUAAACAUGACACAAACCAACCGAAAUAGUGGGUAGAAUAGUGUCAAAUAUAGGGGGACAAGUAGAAAGAGAGGUGAAUAUACUAGAUUUCCUUAGAAGUCUCUUUGUUCUUGAAUAUCCAAAUAAAAGUUUGAACACAUUUUUGUGAUUCCUUUGUAUAGAAAGCUAGCAGAAUGGCUACCGUUGUAAUUCUGCUGCUUGCAGCAAUUCAGCAGCAGCCAACAUCCUGAAAUAGCAGAUACACAAUGCAGCAUAUGCUUUGGUGAAUCUAAUAAUCUCAUGAACUCCUUCACUGCUGGGUUAGUAAUCCACAUAGCUUGAAUGGUGAACUUUAUAAAAUCCGGAGCCUUUACGAAUCAGAAGGGAAAAAACAAAACUGGACAGUUUUCACAAUGAUGGAUGACUUGCUGGCGAGUAAAAUUAAAUGGUUGAUAAUAAUUGUGGUAGCUCACAAAGACUGAUGUUAUUUACAAAAGCUCCAUUUUGCAUGUAAUCAGAUGUCUAUUCCCAUGAGCUGGGUCAUAAUUCAUAUUCCACUUUAAUGUUCAUGGAAAAUGUGCUUCUCUCGGUGUAUGUAUUAUUUUUAGGAUGUUAUGUUUCCUUGGUGCAUACACAAUGAGCCUGAAAUCCUUUAGGAAUGUGUUUAAUUUGAAAGUUUUAUCCUCUGGCUCUAGUUAAUUCAAAUACACAGCUAGAACAUUACUGUAGGCCCCAAAAGAAUGUGGGCCUGGCGAAUCGUGUGCACAAAGGAUACCCCACCCAUGCCACUGAUGCUUGCUUGCCAAAAGGUAACAAGGAGGACUUUCUCUUUCCAAACGUUUUCCUCAUUUAAUUUUCUACACUCUGUCUUGACUUUAAUAAACUUGAUUCACACUAGACCAGAUUCUUCUGCUUUUAAAUGAAGAACUAUUUCUGGUGGCUCUUUUGAAUUGAAAUGCUUCACCUAGGGACCUUUUAUACACCCUUGUCUUUACCUUAUAACUCCAGGAUGUCCUGUGUUCCUCGCAUGUUGUUCUCUACUUUUGGUCACAAAGGCCAUGUGAGAUGCACUUUCCUCUAUAGAAGUAGGGAAAGGUCUGACAGUGCAUGGUAUGGACUCAAGAUCAGUAGCUAUCGGAGAGGAGCAGGGUCUGUCCGAGGCCCCGGAGGAAGGGGCUCCUGAAGGGUGUCAGUGAAGUACCAACCGACGGGGCCUGGGAACUGGGCCGAGCGGCCUGUCAAGGAACCAGUGCCUCUGGCUGCUGACAGGCCUUCCGGGAGGACAUUUUCAGAGGCCUUGUGAUAAUGAGCCUUACACAUUCACAGAGAUGUAUUUUAUGAUUUGAGAAGUCUGGGGAGGAAUUAAGUCUUGUCCUCGUAUAUACGGUUGUGCCAGGAGAAUGACUAGAAUAUUCCAGAACACCCUGGAAGCUGACAUAGGUUUGUUGUUUUAUUCGUGACAGGACUUUGGAAUCAGAGAUAUGAAUCUAUAUCCUGGAUGCUUGAUUCAUUAGAUUUAUAGCCUGGGCCUGGACUGAGUCUUGUGGAGAUCUUAAAAUACAAAAAAGAUGGAAUGCCUUUGACUCAUCCCCAGCCAUAUAAUACAUAUACAAACAAAACAGCUAAACAAACAAAUUUCUGCUUUUCCCCCAGAUGAAUACUACUGUAUGAUUUUUUAAAAUACCAACUUAUUUCCCCCUGCUCUGCUGUAUGCUUGGCAUAGGGUUUGUGUGGAAACUACCCCAUGGGGGUACCAUUUCUGUUUCCUGGGGGUUGUGUUAAGGAACCAUACUAAGGAACCAUAAGUAUGCCAUGAACCUCAUACAGUCCCAGGCAAGUCACCAGCUCCCAACAUUGGUGGACUUUUUGGUGUGACUCGUUACUCUAGAGACUUCUUGGAGGUGGGGCCAUAAUAUAUAUGUCUCACACCCAGGUGAUUCUGAACUACCAGUGGUACAUGCGGCAUAGUACUAUCCCAUCAGGUGCUUAUAAGCCACCCAGUGAGACAGUCAUGCAUAUGCCAACUAUGGUUCAAGCCAGCGGGAAGGUGGUCAUAAUUUGCUAGUGCAUUGUAAUGCACUUGUAGUGCAUUCUGAAUUGAAGUUGCUAAAAAUAAAUGAGAGAGUAUCAUG